UUUCCGUAGGUGAACCUGCGGAAGGAUCAUUCAUAAUAAGUGUUUUAUGGCACUUUUUUAAAUCCAUAUCCACCUUGUGUGCAAUGUCAGGGUUGAUUUUUCUCUCGAGAGGAUCAACCCAAACAUCAACUAUAUCUCAACUCUUUGUCUGAAAAAUAUUAUGAAUAAAACAAUUCAAAAUACAACUUUCAACAACGGAUCUCUUGGCUCUC
rnacentral:misc_RNA from 1 species